AGAUGGACCCGCGGCGUAUUAACUAGUUGGUGGGGUAACGGCCUACCAAGGUGAUGAUACGUAGCCGAACUGAGAGGUUGAUCGGCCACAUUGGGACUGAGACACGGCCCAAACUCCUACGGGAGGCAGCAGUAGGGAAUCUUCCACAAUGGACGCAAGUCUGAUGGAGCAACGCCGCGUGAGUGAAGAAGGUCUUCGGAUCGUAAAACUCUGUUGUUAGAGAAGAACACGAGUGAGAGUAACUGUUCAUUCGAUGACGGUAUCUAACCAGCAAGUCACGGCUAACUACGUGCCAGCAGCCGCGGUA
rnacentral:rRNA from 1 species